rnacentral:lncRNA from 1 species
CUGUUUCUGCAGAGGCUCAAGACUCGUGUGAUUAAAAAGGACAUUAACCCUGAGUGGAACGAAGAUCUUACGCUUUCUGUGACAGAUCCUUCUGUUCCAGUGAUACUGGUAAAACUACAUAACAGAAGAAAAAAAUAAUGUUAUUGUUUUGGUUUUGGUUGAUGCAUUUGAAUACUGAUUAAUAAUUUCAGACUGUGUAUGAUCAUGACACUUUCUCCAUGGAUGACAAAAUGGGAGAUGCGGAAUUGGAUAUCUCACCAUAUUUAGAAGCCGUGAAGAUGCAGGUGGAAGAUCUUCCGAAUGGAACUAUAAUCACGAGAAUACAUCCUUGUAGAACAAACUGCCUGGCGGAGGAAAGUUGCGUG